UCAUAUUUUGGUAAGCUAUCGGGAUUUGGCUUAAUCCUUAAGUUUAAGUGUUCUAAUAGCCUCUAAUGUGAAGUUAGCUUGUUAAAUCCUUAAUAUUUGGAUUGUUUGGAGCAUAUGUUGAGGCUAGGGUGUGAAAAUGGGGGUUUACAAAUUAGGUGGGGUUUGAUCUAAUUUGACCCUUCGUAAACCUAAUUGCAAGGUAAACGAACGCGUUGGCGAAGUCGGUUCGGCGAUUCGUCGAGCCGUUGUAAAGUUAUUAAAGAAACGGUCGUUUAGGCUUCGUUUCCGCCUGGAGGGCCGAGGCGACAUCGUAUACUCAUGAAAACGGAUUUGAAGCAUCGUGGCACAUAACCGAAGACCUUUAAUUUUCGGAUCGUGAAUUGGAGGCCGUUCGGGUGGUCGCGCGAGAGAUCGGGCCAAACCGGGUGCCGGGUGCCGCGGGAGGCCGAUUGCAAGUGUCGACAAGCAAUCGGAAUGCGAUAAAAGGUGGGGGGUGUCAUCCCGAAGCAACUGAGCUUCCUUUUAUGUCUAAGUUCUAUAUCUUGAUCAUAUUCCUAUAUGUUGAUAUAUUGUGCAUUAUAGGAUUAGUAGAUGAUUACAUUUCCAUUCCUUGCAUGUUACCUAGGUUGUGUAGCAUUGUGGGCUUGACACUUGAUCUUAGGUUGCAUGAGGAUUGGGUCUUGUGACAAGAAUCCUAUAGUGACAAGAAUGAUGAUGAACUUUGACAUGUAAUUGGCCUAGACGAGUGGCAUUUGAACUAGUGUAACAAAGACACUAUAAUAUUGACGAGUGGCAUGUCGAUUUAGUGUAUUAAGACACAUAUAACAUCAUGACAUAGACGAGUGGCAUCAAAUCUAGUGUAGUGGAACACUAUGGCAUUUGAACCUAGGGAUAGUAGAUUUUCCCGAUUGUCAUGUUGUAGACAUUAUGCAUUUGGCAUUAGUGCAUUUGAGGCAUUGAUUAUGCAUUUGGCAUUAGUGCAUUUGAGGCAUUGAUUAUGCAUUUGGUAUUGUGCAGCAGAGGCACAUUGACCCUGGUAGAUAGGGUAUCCUCGUAAGAGGAUUGGAUCAUACUCACUAGUCUGUUUUUACUUGUCGGUGGUCGCUCCACCGAGGCACGAGUCUCCGGAGUACUUCACUAGGGGCAGACGUAGUUGUCCCGCAGGCGGUCUCGGUGUGCGAGUGCAGCUUCUCCUCACCUAUGAGAUUGAGAGUGAGUCGAGGGCGUAACCUUCGGGUUAGCCAAGCAGAUUGGGUAAAGAAUAUGAAUGGCGUAGCAGAUUUGCAUUCAUACCUUGAAUUGACAUUGAGACAUAGUAGCAUGUUGUAGAUACAUCACUAUGUAGUAGCUUAUUUCCUUAUUGUUGAGACAUAGUAGCAUGUUGUAGAUACAUCACUAUGUAGUAGUUCAUUUUCUUAUUGUUGAGACAUAGUAGCAUGUUGUAGAUACAUCACUAUGUAGUAGCUCACUUCCUUAUUGUUGAGACAUAGUAGCAUGUGUAGAGACAUCACUAUGUAGUAGCUCAUUUCCUUAUUGUUGAGACAUAGUAGCAUAUUGUAGAUACAUUACUAUGUAGUAACUCAUUUCCACUAUUGUUGAAGCAUAGUAUCAUGAUUAGUAGAAUAUCAUUGCUAUGUUCAUGCAUUCCAUGAUUACAGAGGCAUAGUAGCAUGUGUAUAUUCCAUUACUAUGUAGCAGCUCGUACCUAGUAGAGCGAGAUUGAGUCGGGCGAGGAGCGGGGUAGCUCUUUGCCUAGGACCUUCGAGAUUGAGUCGGGCAAGGAGCGGGGUAGCUCUUUGUCUAGGACCUUUGAGAUUUGAGAUCUUAGGCAAGUUGGCCUAGUCGAUUGGGUUGUAACAUGAAUAGCAUAAGUGGAUUGCAUUCAUGCCAUGAUUGGACAUAGUAGACUGCAUAACUAUGUUGUAGUUGUAUUUAUUACACUGUUGAAGCAUACUAGCAUGAUAGUAGGUUAUUGCUAGAUGAUGUUCCAUGCAUUCUUUGCAUUUGAUGGCAUAGUAGAUAUAGUAGCAAUGUAUUUCUAUCUACCUUUCUAUCUAUCUAUCUGUGCCAGCUUAGACCUAGUGGGAAAACCGGCGGCGUCGGCGGCCGAACCCACUGGGAACUAUAUUUAUAUAGUUCUCACCCCGUGUGGUUUUGGGGUACAGGUACACACGAGAGCGUACCGGCAGAGGACCGUGGUAAGGGCACAGCGCCCUAGUAGCUAGUAGCUUUCCUUAUGCAUUAGAGUACCCUCGUGUACAUAGAGAUGUAAAUGUAUUUGGAAGUUACUUAUGUAUUUGGAGAGCCAUUUUGUAUUAUGAGAAGAAUAUGUAUUCAUUUGGGAAGAUGAAAAUGUAAAUCAAUAUGAAAAAUGAGGUUGAAUGAAUGUAAUAGCUAGAUGUAUCUCUCUUUAUUUCACUUGUAUGUUACUUGUGAUUCUUGCUCUUAAUUGUAUAGCACUAGUGGUGCUUCGUCGUAUCAU
rnacentral:lncRNA from 1 species